rnacentral:tRNA from 1 species
GGGGAUGUGGCGGAAUCGGUAUACGCGCAUGAUUCAGGAUCAUGUCCCUUUAAGGGUUGAGGGUUCGAAUCCCUCCAUCCCCACCA